AGAAGAAGAAGAAGAAGAAGAAGAAGAAGAAGAAGAAGAAGAAGAAGAAACAAAAUGUAUACAUUAAAGAGAGAAACAAAUAAGAAAAACAAAAAGCCGAGCACAGCAACACAUGCCUGUAAUCCCAGAGGCUGGGAUGCUGAGACAGGAGGAUCACAAGUUCAAAGCCAGCCUCAGCAAUGUCCUAUUCUAGAAUGAAAAAUAACUCCACAAAAGACAUCCAUGUUCAACUCUCAGAAACCAGUGAAUGCUACCCUAUAUGGUAAAGGGAGUUUACAGAUGUGAUUAUAUUAAGAAUCUUGAGAAGAUGUUAUCCUGGAUUAUUAAGGUGACCCCCUAAAUGUAAGAACAAGGAUCCUUAAAAGAGGGCAGCAAGAAGAUCAAAGAAAGUAGCAGGAGAUGUGAGAGUAAAAACAAGAAGUUGGAGUGAUGUAAGGAAGGAGUCAAAAACUAAGGAAUGCACAUGACCUCCAAAAACUAAAAAGGCAAAGAAAAGACCCCCCCCCAGCCUCCAGAAAGAGCCAGCUCUGCCAACACCUUGAUUUUAGCCUAGUGAAACUAAUCUUGGACUUCUGGCCUCCAGAACAAUAAGGGAAUAAAUUUGUGUUGAUGUAA